UUCUAAUUAGUUUUUCUUUUCUUUUCCAGUGUAAUGCAGACAUCUCUCAGAGUGUAUGUUCACUAAGUCUGGUAUGCACAUUGGUGGUUCUACUGUUGAGUUGGAAGAGAGAGCCUCUCUAGUGUAAUGCAGACAUCUCUCAGAGUGUAUGUUCACUAAGUCUGGUAUGCACAUUGGUGGUUCUACUGUUGAGUUGGAAGAGAGAGCCUCUCUAGUGUAAUGCAGACAUCUCUCAGAGUGUAUGUUCACUAAGUCUGGUAUGCACAUUGGUGGUUCUACUGUUGAGUUGGAAGAGAGAGCCUCUCUAGUGUAAUGCAGACAUCUCUCAGAGUGUAUGUUCACUAAGUCUGGUAUGCACAUUGGUGGUUCUACUGUUGAGUUGGAAGAGAGAGCCUCUCUAGUGUAAUGCAGACAUCUCUCAGAGUGUAUGUUCACUAAGUCUGGUAUGCACAUUGGUGGUUCUACUGUUGAGUUGGAAGAGAGAGCCUCUCUAGUGUAAUGCAGACAUCUCUCAGAGUGUAUGUUCACUAAGUCUGGUAUGCACAUUGGUGGUUCUACUGUUGAGUUGGAAGAGAGAGCCUCUCUAGUGUAAUGCAGACAUCUCUCAGAGUGUAUGUUCACUAAGUCUGGUAUGCACAUUGGUGGUUCUACUGUUGAGUUGGAAGAGAGAGCCUCUCUAGUGUAAUGCAGACAUCUCUCAGAGUGUAUGUUCACUAAGUCUGGUGUGCACAUUGGUGGUUCUACUGUUGAGUUGGAAGAGAGAGCCUCUCUAGUGUAAUGCAGACAUCUCUCAGAGUGUAUGUUCACUAAGUCUGGUAUGCACAUUGGUGGUUCUACUGUUGAGUUGGAAGAGAGAGCCUCUCUAGUGUAAUGCAGACAUCUCUCAGAGUGUAUGUUCACUAAGUCUGGUAUGCACAUUGGUGGUUCUACUGUUGAGUUGGAAGAGAGAGCCUCUCUAGUGUAAUGCAGACAUCUCUCAGAGUGUAUG